UAGGGAAUCUUCCACAAUGGGACGAAAGUCUGAUGGAGCAACGCCGCGUGAGUGAAGAAGGGUUUCGGCUCGUAAAGCUCUGUUGGUAGUGAAGAAAGAUAGAGGUAGUAACUGGCCUUUAUUUGACGGUAAUUACUUAGAAAGUCACGGCUAACUACGUGCCAGCAGCCGCGGUAAUACGUAGGGAGCAAGCGUUAUCCGGAUUUAUUGGGUGUAAAGGGUGCGUAGACGGGACAACAAGUUAGUUGUGAAAUCCCUCGGCUUAACUGAGGAACUGCAACUAAAACUAUUGUUCUUGAGUGUUGGAGAGGAAAGUGGAAUUCCUAGUGUAGCGGUGAAAUGCGUAGAUAUUAGGAGGGACACCGGUGGCGAAGGCGACUUUCUGGACAAUAACUGACGUUGAGGCACGAAAGUGUGGGGAGCAAACAGGAUUAGAUACCCUGGUAGU
rnacentral:rRNA from 1 species